UACGUAGGGUGCGAGCGUUAAUCGGAAUUACUGGGCGUAAAGCGUGCGCAGGCGGUUUUGUAAGCCAGAUGUGAAAGCCCCGGGCUUAACCUGGGAAUGGCAUUUGGGACUGCAAGGCUUGAGUGCGGCAGAGGAGACUGGAAUUCCUGGUGUAGCAGUGAAAUGCGUAGAUAUCGGAAAGAACACCGACGGCGAAAGCACUCUGCUGGGCCGACACUGACACUGAGAGACGAAAGCUAGGGGAGCGAAUGGG
rnacentral:rRNA from 1 species